GUGGUGGUAGUAGUGGUAGUACUAGUAAUAAUAGUGCUGGUGGUUGUGGUAGUGGUGGGUGUGGUGGUAGUAGUAGUAGUAGUAGGUGUGGUGGUGGUAGUAGUAGUAGUAAUAGGUGUGGUAGUAGUAGUAGUAGUAAUAGGUGUGGUGGUAGUAGUAGUAGUAAUAGGUGUGGUGGUGGUAGUAGUAGUAGUAGUAGUAGUAGUAGUAGUAGUAGAAGUAAUAGUAGUGAUAGUACCACAAAUAAUAGUGGCAGUGCAAAAUCAGUACAGGGAUGAGAUGAACUGAAAGUCCACAGAGAUCUUAAACCUUUCAGAGAAGGAAGUCUGACAUGCCACAAGUGGACUCAGGAGAGUCUCUCCUCUCCGUCACUGUUUCUCC
ensembl:lncRNA